UAAAUUUCAAAAAACAGGAAAAAAUACUUAUAAAACCUACCCAACCCCACGUCUUCCCCCACUUUCCCCAUUAUUCCCUCACACUUCAACCUUCUAUAUACACAUACAUACCAUUAUAUAAACACACAAGAAGGGGAGCACACGGGGAUAAGAAACAAGAGAAAAACAUUGACAACAAGAAAAAAAGGAGAAAACAAAAAAAACAGAGGGAGAAAAACAAAAAAAUAGUAAUGAAAACAAGAAAGAAGGAAGGAAAAGGAAGUAGCGGAUCGAGUUCAGGUUUCGUUUCAGUUUUUGGUGAUGUUGUUCGUGCUUUGCUUCAAUUCGCCAGACAGAUGUCACAUGAUCAUAUAUUCAUGGCAAGAGUACUUCUAAGGUUUGCACCGCAUAUAUGAUGUCACAGAGUCAAUGAUAUUGAAGAACUUAUUAAGGCAAUAUUACCAAAGAUGCAGUACAAGAUUUUUCAUCAUAAGAAUAUUUGUGGUGUCUACAUAAACAAGCAAAAAUGUGUAGUUCAACAGCAACUAGACAGAUGUAUUAUGUUACAACUGUAUUAUAAAUUUUUUGGGGUAUGUGCAUGUAUUUGUAUUUUGUAUAUACAAAUGCAUAUUCAUAUGUAUUUUGUACGGUGCUGAAUUUGUCUCUAAACUGUUCUAUGUCAUUCUAUAGGGUAACAUAUGUAUUUAUUA